CCCUAAUGAAUCCAGGUCCUCUGCCAGACAAGCCUUUACUGGAGGAGGUGGCAAUGAGAGUAAACAACAGCAAGUGAGCCCUUGCUUGCUCACUUCCUGUGGUCAGGGGGCAAGUUUGUUCUUUAUAUCAGGUGAGAGUAGGGGUAUGUCCAGGGAUCAGGCCAGUUCCAACAGUUUGAAGUAAGGCUCAUGGUGGCUUAAGGAAUUCAGAGCAUCCCAGCAGAAAGUGACCCUGGUCACUAUAGGUCCUUGGAAGAGUCAGCAAGGGACUUCUACACAUCUAGGGUAGGCUAAGUCUGUGGCUCCUGAUCAGCAGGAAGAAGUCUCAGAAGAAGAGAUUCAGUGCCUUAUUCCCUAAGAAUAAGGAUGUAGAGUCUCUCAGCAGGGAAUGAGACAGGUUGGGAACCUGGGACCCUGGGACCCUUUGCUGCGGUGCUUGCAUUUGGACACACCUCUCCUUGAGCAACGAAAUACAAAGAAACUGUAUAGGACUGAAAAUAACUUCCAACAUGGGUGGCUGGGGCAAGUUCUGGACAAAAAGAUACAAAGGGACCUAAACAUCCAAUUGUCACUUCUGAAGAGUGCCUGGAUUCUUUCAGUCUGGCAUAAUGUUUCUAAG
ensembl:lncRNA